GCCAACACAGGGACAUGGGAAUCACGAGCGCUUCUUUUAGGGUCAGUAGCAGAGAAGACGGUGUAAACAAGCACAAAAGUACCAAUAAUUUCAGCACCCAAAGCAGUUCCAUUGUUGUAACCAGGUUGCACAAAGUUAGCACCUCCACCUUCUGUGUUGUAGUAAUGCUUCAUGAAUGCCUUAACGAAACCAACACCACAAAUAGCACCAAGUGACUGUGCAAUUAUGUAAGCAACUGCUCUUAUCAAUGACACUUUCCUUGCCAAGAACAACCCAAAUGUCACCGCCGGGUUAAUAUGACCACCAGAAAUUCCAGCAGUGCAGUAAACAAGGACAAAGAUCAUUCCACCAAAAGCCCACGCAAUUCCAAGAAUCCCAACACCAUCACAUUGGUCUAGAGCGUUGAGUUUCUUGUGACCGAUAACAGUAGCAACGGUGACAUAGAGGAAGAGAAGGGUGGCGAUGAAUUCAGCUAUAAGAGCUCUGUAAAAAGACCAUUUGGUAAGCUCAGCCAUGUCGAGAAGAGGAGCUGGAGGAGGGUCAACAUAGUCCUUUCCAUGAUGAUGAGCUUGUCCUUCUUCAAUCACGUCCUUCGACAUUUUUUUUCUUUAGCAGUGAAAAAAUACAGAGCUUUU
rnacentral:misc_RNA from 1 species